AUGAAGACAUGGGGAUCCGGACGCU
rnacentral:piRNA from 1 species